CGUGCAGGCGGGCCGGCAAGUCUGAUGUGAAAGCCCCGGGCUCAACCCGGGAAGUGCAUUGGAAACUGCUGGUCUUGAGUUCUGGAGAGGAAGGGGGAAUUCCCGGUGUAGAGGUGAAAUUCGUAGAGAUCGGGAGGAAUACCAGUGGCGAAGGCGCCCUUCUGGACGGCAACUGACGCUGAGACGCGAAAGCGUGGGGAGCAAACAGGAUUAGAUACCCUGGUAAUCCACGCUGUAAACGAUGAGCACUAGGUGUAGCGGGUACUCAUUCCUGCUGUGCCGCAGCUAACGCGUUAAGUGCUCCGCCUGGGGAUUACGGUCGCAAGACUAAA
rnacentral:rRNA from 1 species